rnacentral:rRNA from 1 species
AGUGAACGCUGGCGGUAGGCCUAACACAUGCAAGUCGAACGGCAGCACAGUAAGAGCUUGCUCUUACGGGUGGCGAGUGGCGGACGGGUGAGGAAUACAUCGGAAUCUACUUUUUCGUGGGGGAUAACGUAGGGAAACUUACGCUAAUACCGCAUACGCCCUACGGGUGAAAGCAGGGGAUCUUCGGACCUUGCGCGAUUGAAUGAGCCGAUUUCGGAUUAGCUAGUUGGCGGGGUAAAGGCCCACCAAGGCGACGAUCCGUAGCUGGUCUGAGAGGAUGAUCAGCCACACUGGAACUGAGACACGGUCCAGACUCCUACGGGAGGCAGCAGUGGGGAAUAUUGGACAAUGGGCGCAAGCCUGAUCCAGCCAUACCGCGUGGGUGAAGAAGGCCUUCGGGUUGUAAAGCCCUUUUGUUGGGAAAGAAAAGCAGCAGGUUAAUACCCCGCUGUUCUGACGGUACCCAAAGAAUAAGCACCGGCUAACUUCGUG